AGGUCACAAAGUUGGCCUACCUUAAGAAGCAACCCUCUCCGGAGCCGGGUGCGUAGGUUCGAAUCCUACAGGGG
rnacentral:tRNA from 1 species